GCAAGCCAUCAUUAGGCUGAAAAACAAAACAAACCCAUCAGAGAGAUAGCAAAAACAUUAGGCAUGGCCAAAACAACUGUUUGGAACAUUCUUAAAAAGAAGGAACGCACCGGUGAGCUCAGCAACACCAAAAGACCCGGAAGACCACGGAAAACAACUGUGGUGGAUGACCGAAGAAUUCUUUCCCUGGUGAAGAAAACACCCUUCACAACAGUUGGCCAGAUCAAGAACACUCUCCAGGAGGUAGGUAUAUGUGUGUCAAAGUCAACAAUCAAGAGAAGACUUCACCAGAGUGAAUACAGAGGGUUCACCACAAGAUGUAAACCAUUGGUGAGCCUCAAAAACAGGAAGGCCAGAUUAGAGUUUGCCAAACGACAACCAAAAAAGCCUUCACAGUUCUGGAACAUCAUCCUAUGGACAGAUGAGACCAAGAUCAACUUGUACCAGAGUGAUGGGAAGAGAAGAGUAUGGAGAAGGAAAGGAACUGCUCAUGAUUCUAAGCAUACCACCUCAUCAGUGAAGCAUGGUGGUAGUAGUGUCAUGGCGUGGGCAUGUAUGUAGAGUUCUGUCCUCAGUUCUCAGCUCAAACCCCUCCAGUCUGAGAGAAUUGAACCUGAGUAGAAAUAAACUGCAGGAUUCAGGAGUGAAGUUGCUCUCUGCUGGACUGGAGAAUCCACACUGUACACUGGAGAUACUGAGGUAACACACACACACACACACACACACUGAACUAGAGAUAGUAGUCUAGGAGCAUCAAUUUAUCACUAAAUAUUGCAUACAAUAAUUGUAUGUGUGAGAGAGGGAGAUAUACAAGUGGGCGUGGUCUGUACCAGAGGAUCUUGUGUCUCUGCUAGAGGUGUAACACAAUGCUACUAUCUGUCUCUGUUUAGUGCACAAACUGUUUUUGUAUUCGGAUUUAAACCGGAAGUGGGCGUGGUCUGUUCCAGAGGGUUUUUCAUGAGAUCACUAUGCCCUGAAAAACAGUGAAAAAAAAAAAAUCACAAAGUAUGCAUAAAAAUCAAUUCACCCUCAAAAACAGAGCAUGGAGCCUCAUUACAACACCAAAUACAUUCAAAAGUGACAAAAUCAUCAGUAGACUUAUAAUAAAGAAAAUCAACCAAAACUCUUGACUUCACCAAGUUAGAAAACAAGGCUACUAUGUUCUGAUUUAAGUUUUGUUCUAUUUUCCUUUUCCUACUUGUAUAAAUGACCAGUUUUGCUUGGCCUAAGACAAAAUUCAGAAGUUGACAGACAAAUCUUUUCUUCCUCACAUAUUUGUACCCUAAAAUAAAAGUCUCGAGAGAAAAGGUCUCAUUACUACUCCUGAAAACAUUACCUUCAACUAGAAAUAAAGGUUGCAAUCUACAACAAUUCAUAAAAGCAUGAAAGAUGGUUUCUCUGUCAGAACAGAAAGGACAUGUAGAAGUAACCUCAGGGUUUAGAACUGAGAUAAAAGCAUUGACCGCGACAGCACCAUGAAUAAUUCUCCAUUGCAAAUCACCUGUUCUCUUGGUCAACGGUGGUUUAUACAAGGAUCUCCACUCAGAUUUUGUGUUUUGAUCCAAUUUAAAAACAUCAUGCCAGGGAGUAUCAACUUUCCCAUUUAAAACCUUUUUGCUAAAAACCAAAACACAAAGACCUGUACAAAGAUUUACCAGUACUUAAAAAGAAGUCUUUACACAGAGAUGCAACAUUUUCAAUGAAAGGUGUAAUCCCUUCAACAUUUACAGACAGUAGUAGACAAGGAAAAGAGUCUUUGGGAUCAGGAACUCGCGAACCAGCACAAUACUCUGUUAGCAAGUCCAUUUCAGUUGUCUUAAACACCGCUUUCCAUUUCAUGAGCAACUGGGUAACCAGACGAAUAGACCUGAUUCCCAAAUGUUGAGCUAAUGCUGCUUCGUUCUUGAAAUCCGGCCCUACAAUGUUCAGUAGCUGACUCAGAGUAAUAAUGUUGUGUUCAAUCAGCAACCUACUAAGACCAGGAAAAAAGGAACUGUCUGUUAGAUCCAACCAGGAGCCACAGAUUAAAGGCUCCUCCAGUAACCAAUGAAGAGAAUGUGAGUUUUCUGGUCGUUGAACAGCAAAGAGACUCCAAACUUUAAAAAUGUUCUUGUAAAAAAUUGGCAACGUGGAGGUGUCCAGUUUUAGGGGAUCCAUCAAAAAAAGUGCUUUGUCCAGCCCCAAACCUGCAAAACUACGUAAAAUCAGGCAUGAAACAGCACGCCAGCUAAAACUUGAUGGUCCAUCCAACAGUCUUUGCACAAACUGCAGACGAAAGGUUGCAAUUCUGCUCUGGAGAUGAAUUAGUCCUUGACCACCUUCCUCCUUGGGCAAAAACAGAAAUUUUGUGAGACCCAAUGUAAUUUAUCCCAAAAAAAGUCCACCAGGGUAGCCUGGAUUUUUUAUAGCAGCUGCAAAGGAGGAUCUACACAGGCAAACUUAUGCCAUAAGGAAGAUGCCACCAAAUUAUUAACAACUAAAAUGUGUCCUCUGUAUGGCAAUUUUGGAGACAAAGACUUCCAUUUUUCUAGGCGUCCUUUGACUUUUUCUAUUAAACCUUCCCAGUUUUUCUGCACUGUUGUGUCAUUGCCUAAAAAGACCCUCAAGUAUUUAAAACCUUCUUUUCCCCAAUGUAAACCAGCAGGAAGUUUCAGUUUUCCACUUUUCCAGCUUCCUAUCAGUAGUGCUUCACUUUUAUUCCAAUUUAUAUUAGCAGAGGAUAAAACUUUAAAUUUUCCAAGCAAUUCAGAUAAAACCUGUGGGCGUGGUCUGUACCAGAGGGUUUUUCAUGAGAACCCUAUCACUAUGCCCUGAAAAACAGUGGAAAAAAAAAUCAGGGCUGCUGCAAAAGAAAACAUUUUUCAUUGACAAAUUAUAACACAUUUAUUUAUUUACUUACUUACUUACUUAUUUAAUUUAAGUAUAUAACUUGAUUCAACUUAUUCCUGAACCAGACAUCCUGUGGAACUUUUUGGAAAGUUUUCUAUCUUCUAUCUAAUGUGAAUGAGUAAAAAAAGCUAACUAUGUUUCAAAACAACAACGUCUUUCCCAAAUCAAGAAACUGUUAUUUACUGUUGACAACAACAGCCACCUAAUAAUAUUUGAUCAGAUUUACUUUAGCUUUUGUGUUUGUUACAUUCCAGAAAGAUCAGAAAAGUUCACUGGACUCGCUAUCAGAAUCUGAUUUUGUUGUUUCCUAAAUUAUGGUAGAUGAAGGAAUAUGAUCUCUUGGACUCUUACUUGUAGCUUACUGUAUUUCAGUGUCAUUGAGGGAAACUUACUGGUAGAAGUAAAUGCCUCGUUUUGCUAUCUAUACUUGUGCCAGUAUAUAAAAUACAACAAAUUCACUGAAUAUUCACCAACCAAAAUGUUUACUUGCUAAAUGAAGACAAAAUAAAUUAAAAUAACUCAACUGUAUAAAAUAGUUACUUUCUCAUACAGUAAUCCCGAAUCAUAUUAAGUUAAUAACAAACCAAGCAACCAAUAUGUCGUACUGGCUAACAGUUAAUUAUUUACUCAAGCGCGCUAUCCUUAGCCCACGCUCUCACUCAGACUGGCAAAUUGAAAACACAUAAACAAAACAAAAGCUGCAGGGCUGUGAGGUGGCUGGGGUGCGGUGUGGCCCAGACUGAAAUGGCCUCUUCACUCUAAGAAGAGCAAUGACUCUACUGACUGCAAAGGUACCUGGUCUUUACGGCUUUCUGGGCUUUUACGUGCUCGACGUUUCUGAAGUUAGCACCUGCAUCGCUCCGUGUUACUCGUCCACAGGCGUUUAUCCAGCGGUGCCAGAGGAACCCUGAGCGUUACCCGGUAGCUCACAGUGCUAUCUGGUUCUCCUCAGCGACUCCCAGGGGAAAACAGGUGAACAGCAGACAAUAGUGUGUAGCUGUGUGAGCUGAACAACAGGCUAGCAGUUCGACUAGCUAACUAGGCUAGUCAGCUAGGUAAUACACUGUGUGCAAACUUCAUGUAGAAACAGCAGCUCCCUCCUUCUAAUCAUUUCGUAACUAGUAAGUUCUCACGCUUAGAUUAUUGUUUUAACUUGGUCACCGUUCAUUAGUUAUUCAGAAAUCCUAGUUUUUUUCACGGAGAGAAAACUUUUCUCCUUUUCCCCUUUUUUCUUUUCCUGUUCUCCUCGCUGAUUAACCCCUAUCCAAAUAACCAAUCAGAAUCACGCACGUUGCUAGUCAACCCCCCUUUUAUCCACUCUCUUUUUAAACAAUGCAAUGAAGUUAUCUUAAAACGAAUGAAAGUUUUUAUCCCGACCGACUUUCAUGAACUAAACCUUACUUACAAACUGCGUUAUGUGUACGAGCGUGUUUCCAAGUGCGUAUAAGGUUGUGCUGCUCUGGCUUCAGCUCUGAGGUCAAACUCCUCAUCACACCUGAGAGAACUGAAUCUGAACGGUAAUAAUCCAGGAGAAUCAGGAGUGAAGCUGCUCUCUGAUCUACUGAAGGAUCCACACUGUAAACUGGAAACACUACACAUUAAGGAUGAUAAACUCACCAGUACUGGCGUAUGGCAGGAGUCUCACCUCAAACCUCUUUUCCAGGAUAAAGCAGUUUUGGUGAAGCGUUAGAACCCGUCCCACAUUUCCAGCAGUUUGGGAGCUGAAAUCAUUCAUAUUCAGAUGUAGAAGUUCCAUAACAAUAACCGGGACUGAUCACAUCCUUUUAUCCACUCAGCUACAAAUUACUUCAGGCUUUAAUAACAUAUUUUACAAUCAAAGUCAAAUCCUUCAGCCUCUACACACAACACAGAGAUAUCAUCACAUCAUCACACUGAUUACACAAAUACACAUCAAUGUGUUGUAGCUGUUUAUAGCUUAUUUUUAGCUCCACAUUUUUUAUCUAUUUUUUUUAGUGUGUUUCUGCUCAACAUGGCUUUAUUCAGUUUGUUGUAACAUGACAGUGAUUUUUUUUUCUCCACAGAUGAUUGAUUUAUAGUUGUGAUUUAAUCCAUUUUUCCCAAUUUUUUUUGUUAAACUUCUAUUCCUUGUUUGUGGUGUGUGUAUGUAUGAGUAAGGGGUGUUCCUAAUAAAGUGGUGUGUAUGAGUAAGGGGUGUUCCUAAUAAAGUGGUGUGUGUGUGUAUAA